rnacentral:rRNA from 1 species
AUACGGAGGGAGCUAGCGUUGUUCGGAAUCACUGGGCGUUAAAGCGCACGUAGGCGGCUUUGUAAGUUAGAGGUGAAAGCCCGGGGCUCAACUCCGGAACUGCCUUUAAGACUGCAUCGCUUGAAUCUGGGAGAGGUAAGUGGAAUUCCGAGUGUAGAGGUGAAAUUCGUAGAUAUUCGGAAGAACACCAGUGGCGAAGGCGGCUUACUGGACCAGAAUUGACGCUGAGGUGCGAAAGCGUGGGGAGC